CACAUAUAUAACUACCAGCGCUCCUUUAAUACAGAACCAAUGUAAUAAAUGAUUUGCACAAUGUAACAGACGAUGCACAUGUCAUGUGGCUUUACUGUCAUUUUAACAAUUUCUGAGUUAAACUCAGCUGUACACCCUCAGCAAAUCUAUUUACUAAGCGGCUGACAGAUCUGCCUACUUGGGUUUUCAUCAAACGUUGACAACUAGUUUCUCCUAAAUUUAGCUGCUCAGGGAAUUUUAGAUUUGGUAGUGCAUUAAAUCACAUAGGCCGAG